GAGGGUGCAAGCGUUAAUCGGAAUUACUGGGCGUAAAGCGCACGCAGGCGGUCAAUUAAGUCAGAUGUGAAAGCCCCGAGCUUAACUUGGGAAUUGCAUCUGAAACUGGUUGGCUAGAGUCUUGUAGAGGGGGGUAGAAUUCCAUGUGUAGCGGUGAAAUGCGUAGAGAUGUGGAGGAAUACCGGUGGCGAAGGCGGCCCCCUGGACAAAGACUGACGCUCAGGUGCGAAAGCGUGGGGAGCAAA
rnacentral:rRNA from 1 species